GUAGGUACAGCUCUAGUGGUAAAGGGCAUGCUUAGCAUGCACGAGGUCCUGGGUUCAAUCCCAGUACCUUCA
rnacentral:tRNA from 1 species